CAGGAGGCGAGCAGGAACAACACCGUCUUAUUUGGUUUGGUCGGACCGGAAGCUGCUGUUUGCCUCUUCACUGUGUCAUCAGGCUGCAAGAAAACACUGCAGACUCAGGUUCAAGUAUAGUCCACAGGCACAGAGGUUUCAGGCUACUGAUGAAGUUUCUAACGGUCUGAUAUCCAAACCACAAGAAGCCUGUCUGAAGACUCAUCUUCAGCUCCUCACAGCCUCUCCAGAGUCCACACUUCAAAACAGUAGAGGGAGUGAGGAUAAUACUGCUGCAGGGAACGACUGCUUCUCGCACACAGGACCUGAAUGAAACAGAGAAAGGAACCAAACUGGAACUCCUGAAGAGUGCAGAUGCUUUUACAUUAACCAGGAAUCACUGGACGUCAGUGAUUCAUCAAAAUUUCUGGUGCAAAAAAACCAGGAGGUUAAUCUUAUAAGUUUCUUGUAAGUAACUGGUAAGAAUUGCUUUACGUUGUUCAU